GGUCGGGGAAAUAAGAUCCCAAGCUGCUCGGAAUGCAUGCAUGCAUGCAUAAAUACAUACAUACAUACAUACUCAGAAGGAGGCACUAGGGGGCUCCUGAGGUUCUGGUUGAGCUGUGUUUCUUAUUCUGAGAGCUGGUUGUAUGAAUACGUUGUUUGUGAAAAUUAACUGAGCCAAACAUUUUGGUAUGUGCACUUCUGUGUGUAGUAAACUUAAAAAUUUCGUUUUUUUAAUGAGGUUCUCUGAAUGGAAGCAUUUGAGAACCACUGAUUUAUCAAGCCUACGGAACGCCAAACACUGCCAGAAAGAACAGCUCAAGAAGGCACGGCCCCUGCUUUCAGAGCUUCUGCAACCUGCGGCACACGGAACUUACCUGACCAGGGAUUGAACCCACAUCCCUUGCAGUGGAAGGCAGAGUCUUAACCACCAGACGGCCAAGGAAGACCCUACUUAACAGAGGCUGAAAACAGUUGUCAAGGAUUCUGUGGAAAGAAUUUCUUUGUGGAUGUGAAGUUUGACCUUUAAGAAUACAUCAUUUGGCAACCAACCAACUGGAUCUCUCCUGUUCAGCUUGCACACUUAAGGGUGAUUGGUUUAUUGUUCUUUAACUUCUGACCUUGCUGUUCCUCCCUGAAUUUAAGGUACUACUGUUACCCCUGGGCAUAGAAUAUCCAGAUAUGCCCUAUCUUCUAGCUUUAUGCCUAGGUCCUCUCUUUUAACCUUAUUUAUCUUUUACUCUUCUGGCUAAGAGAGCAUCUGAAACACCAUCUGUUAGGAAAGUGGGAAUGAUUUUCCCCUUUGGAGUUGAGUGAUGCAAAUCUCUGAUGGCUGUGUCUUCAGAGAAUAACAAAGCAAAGCUCACUCAGUGUUGGGUGCAAACUUGAAGUUUCCGUCAUUUCUUCCCUUACGCAAGUCCAGGCUAUUUUGGCAAUACUAAGAAAGGGAGAGAGAGACAGAUGGUAGGAGGGUUGCUGGUGAUAAAUGAAGCAGGUACCACCAUCUGAAGAGAUUUGGAAAGCACUCUGAUCUUUGCUUUGGAGUUCACUGAAUCUCCAUUAUUUUCCCAGUCCUUUGGGGUCAGGACCUUGAGUGGCUCCCUCACGGUCAACCCUUGGAACUCUUGCUGACACUGUCUCAUUCAUCCUGUUAACCUCCCUGUGGUAGACAGGUGCAGUUAUCACUAGGCUAUUGUAGGGGAAAUGGGAACACUGGGGCCAGGAAAGCUUCUAAUUUCUCAGUGGAAUAGACUGGGUUUUGUCACUCUUUCAUUCCACUGUUUCCAUCUGUACUUCCUCUUUGAGGAAAAGAAAUGAGAGAAGGAACAUAGCUUUCUGCUUUUCUCAGGAAUCUGGAGAUCUCCAAGGGCAGAUCUGGGGGCCCAAUAUUCAUCUCUUUACUGAGUCUUGUCUGUCUGGUCUUUUCCUACUUUGGUCCACCCUCCUUCUUGCUGGCCUUAUUGUGAAAGGAAGGGCUCUUUCCCCUCCUCUCCUUUCUUCCGCCCUCCCCCAUUUACCAUUUUUUCCUUUUACCUCUCCACUGUGGCCUCUUGACCUCCCCACAGAGUUACAAAAGUAAAAUCCUUGAAGAGAUGCUGCUGUGGGAAUGUUAAUGAGCCUUCCCCACAAAGGGGCAAAGACUUUACUUCACUGAGUUGGAAAAAAGCCCCUUUGAAAAGGGGUUUCUGUGUGUGGUGAAGUGGAGAGGGGAGGGGAAGGAGAGAGAGGGAGAGAGAGGGAGAAAAGAAGGGAGGGAGAGAAAGAGCAAGAGAAUGAAAGGAGAGAGAGAAAUGAGAGAGAGAGAGAGAGAGAGAUUGAGAGAAACAGCAGAAGAGAAUAUUAAAACAACACUGUUCUUUCUUUAAUUGGUGAUUUAAUUUUUGGAAAAUGUUCCAUAGUCAUUUGACCUCGUAAACUAAGCAUUUAAGUUCCCAAAAAAGCUGAAGAGGCACUCAAGGGCGUUGAAGAUAAUAAAGGAUGGGAAAAAGGGACUUAUCCUGGCACCCUGUCCCCAGUUCCUUCUCAUGUGUGGGAGACUGAGAGGCUCUAGUGGGGGAGGAUAUUCUGGAUGGGGGAGUUGGUGGUGAAGAUGGGCUUCUUAUUCUGGUUUUGUGGUUCCUCCUUAUGAUAUUUUCUAAUUUUAUCAACAUUUUCUAUUUUGGCUUCCCUAUUGACUUAAAAUUUUUCCUCUCUUCAGGAAUAGCUUAAAGUACUGUUGGGUGUUUACAUUGUGGAGCCAAUUUUCAAGCCAGACCACUUGAGCAUAAUCUCUGUAUCCUUCAUUUGUGAGCACAGGUUGCCUGUGAAUUAGUUAAAAUGGAUGUUAAGGUACUGUUAGUAUCAAAAAAAUAAGUCCCUGAAAAGCAAAGAUAUGAUGUUGCUUUUUAAAAAAAUUGAAGCAUAAUUGAAUGUUGUUGCUCUUUGAAGAAAGCCUGUCAUUAUGUUUGACUCUCAGAGAUUUUCCUACGUGUUGUUUUGUGAUAUCAGCAUAACACUCCAGUUAAAGAAGCCCAGAACUGUGAAGAACAAAGAGAAGGUAGGUGAUUGGAAUGAGAUCCAUUGGAAGAGAAAGAAGAGGGGCCAGUCAGGGAUGCUAAUUCCCAGAGCUCUGUAACUCCUCUGGACUCAAGGUAAUCAACCACAUGGGGAAUUUACCGAGAAUUCGCAUUCCUAACCUCUACCCCUGAUCUACUUAAUCAAUCUCUGGCGGGGUGGGGGGGUGGGGUGGAGCCUACGAUUUAAAAAUAAGCUCUUAAAUGAUCCUUUUGCAGUUUGAGACAAUUGAGCUUGACUGUUGCUUUCUAAACCAUAAGCUCUAGAUUCUUAGGGGUCUGCAGUGUUGUUGCAGCAGAAUCCAUGUACACAUGAAGUGAGCCCAGCCUGUGGCCCCAAUAAAUAACAUGCCUCUCAAAUGUAUAUACUACUGUUGCCCAAAUGUUUGUUGAUGUUGUUGAGUGUAAUACACUUUUAAGUCACUGAAAGUGUUUCUAGACUCAUAAUGGCUUUUGCUCUAACAAUACAACUACAGUCAUGUGGGAGUCCAGGAAAUUCUUUGCCAUUUCAUUGAAGGCCUCUUCUCUCCAGACAAUACCCUGUUUCUAGUUUGUAGAGGAGCAGGCACUGUGGAAGCAUUUCAUCUACCUUCCUGAAAGUUAGAAUCCCAUGAGGAAUUUGAUUUUAAUUGCACGAGAACUAAACUAGGAGUCUAGAAAGCAUGUAACCUUUCUAUUGAUAACCUUAGUCAUAGCUAAUCAUAGCUUGGGUGCAUUCUGCUUACUACGCCCUUUAAUUGCACCGUCUCAUUUAAUCCUUAAAAUAACUUUGCAAGGUAAACAUUGUAUAAUCCCCAUUUUAGACAAGCAGAACACCCCAUUUUACAAAUGAAGACACUGAGGCAUGGAGACGCAAAGUAGCUUUCUUGUUCAAGGUCUUACAGCUGAUAAACAGCAGGUUGAAAUUUGCCCAAAUUUGCCUGAUUGGACAGCCUGUGUUUUUUUCGCCACAGUGUGACCAUUUAUUGCCAUCCCACUGAUUUCUGCCUCUGCUAUAGGCCUCACUUUCUGGGUGCAGACCUGGAGGAUGACAAACUUUCAACUUACAGAGAAAAUGUGAAGACUUACAAAAGAAACUAUGAAAGAAGUAAAGGAAAGAACAUUAUAACAAUUAGCUAAGCUCCCCUUGCAUAGUUGGAGAAAACUGGAAGAAGAAUUUACCGAGAGUGGGCAGGGGCGAGCUCCGCGGCGCGAGCCGCACGAAUGAGAGAAACGUGCCCCUCGCGAGGCGUCGCGCGCGCCCGGGACAGGGAGCCAAUGAGAACGCUGGGAGGGCUCGAGACCCG